UAUGCGAGCUGGUUUCCGAAACUUUGAUAGAAAAACUUUCGAUCCGUAUGUAAACAGUUGCCGGGACAUGUCAAUAAUAGGCAACUGAACUGCUCUUGUUAUUAUAACACCACUUGAACUUCAGUCGGUCGAAAUUAAUCAGUCUCGUAACAACCGCCUCGGAGUUGGCAUCAACUUGCUAAUCGCAUAACGGUACAAGUUAAUAACUCGUUUCUUGUCUUAUGUGGUUGUGUGUUACCGAGGUGUCGGUGUAUUAUUACAUAUAUACAUACGAGGUGGAAAGGUGAUGUAAAGGAGAGUAGUGAACUGUCGGUCAAUGUUGAUGCAAUCUUCAAGAUGCAACUGCAGUAGUGCAAGUCAACGAUCGGCUUGCCUGACAUCGACUCGAACAGGGAGACGUUUCCUUAAUUUCACGGAUAAUUAGUGGAAUAGAAGCGUUCCUGUGCUCUUUCACAGCCAAGAACGAAUGCAAAAGUACGCGCGAAAUGUGCUGAUUGCAUUAGCGGAAAGACGAAUAGCCGUUUCGGUGAAUGGGUUCGUUAACUUGCACGCUUACAAAUUGCCCACCAUUUUGGUCGACCGUUCUACCCCUUCAACGCGGUUUUUUCUCUUUUCUUUUUUUCUUCCUCUUUCGCGCUCUGGAAAAUCCACUGAGGCUAGAUAAGACGACCAGAGAUUAGACGUUAAUACCAGUGCUGAUCUCGACGUUACCUAUCUCGCAUUUUAAGUCUCGUAUCCAUACAAGAAAACGUAUCUAGUAAAUACUGUUGCUUAAUUAGCAGGAGUGCACAAAAGUAAAACAUGGAGCUCUUUGCUG